rnacentral:misc_RNA from 1 species
GUUCUUGCACCAACCAAAGAAUGCUCUAGACCAUUUUUCUACCUCAUAGACCACCAUCUACACCCAUAAGCAUACGCAUAUUAUAUACCAUAUAUAUAUAUAUAACAGAGAGGGAGAGAAGAAGAAGAAGAUGGAGGGUGGCAGCCUAAAGAGGUCUACAACAUCCUUUAGAAGACAAGGAUCCUCGGGGUUGGUAUGGGAUGACAAGUUCUUAUCAGGAGAAUUGAAGCAAAACGAAGAAAAGGCAGAAAUAAGUAGUCCAAGAUCAUCAAAUAAUGGAAAGAUGCAACGCAGUCGCUCCGCAGGAGGAGCUAUCUACCGUACGGUCAAGGUUUCAUCUUCACCAAACGUCGACCCUCCAUCUCCUAAAGUCUCAGGCUGUGGAUUGUGUGUCAUUUUUGGCAAGCCAGUUUCUACCCAUCAACGAAAGUCCUGUAAGCGUUAAUUAGUAUUCCGAAUUUGCUUGUGCAUCACUCGCAUAUAGUUUUCAAGGUUAAAAAUACCUACUCAAAAGGAAGGACUUUUAACCUUGAAAACUAUAUGCGAGUGA